rnacentral:tRNA from 1 species
GGUGAUAUAGCUCAGUGGUAGAGUGCUUGCCUAGCAUGCACAAGGCCCUGGGUUUAAUUUCCAGCACCA